GAUGAACGCUGGCGGCGUGCCUAAUACAUGCAAGUCGAACGAGGCCCUUUGUAUUCGUACGAAGGUGUCCUAGUGGCGAACGGGUGAGUAACACGUAGGUGACCUGCCCCGAAGAGGGGAACAACCCCGGGAAACUGGGGCUAAUACCCCAUAACCUCCUUGGAGUUAGAGGACCUUGGAGAAAAGGAGCAAUCCGCUUUGGGAGGGGCCUGCGGCCCAUCAGCUAGUUGGUAGGGUAACGGCCUACCAAGGCGAUGACGGGUAGGGGACCUGAGAGGGUGGUCCCCCACAAUGGUACUGAAACACGGACCAUACGACUACGGUCGGCAGCAGUAGGGAAUAUUGCACAAUGGGCGAAAGCCUGAUGCAGCAACGCCGCGUGCGCGAUGAAGGCCUUCGGGUUGUAAAGCGCUUUUCUGGGGAAGAGAGAGGACGGUACCCCAGGAAUAAGUCUCGGCUAACUACGUG
rnacentral:rRNA from 1 species